rnacentral:rRNA from 1 species
AUUGAACGCUGGCGGCAGGCCUAACACAUGCAAGUCGAGCGGAUGAGUGGAGCUUGCUCCAUGAUUCAGCGGCGGACGGGUGAGUAAUGCCUAGGAAUCUGCCUGGUAGUGGGGGACAACGUUUCGAAAGGAACGCUAAUACCGCAUACGUCCUACGGGAGAAAGCAGGGGACCUUCGGGCCUCGCGCUAUCAGAUGAGCCUAGGUCGGAUUAGCUAGUUGGUGAGGUAAAGGCGACCCAAGGCGACGAUCCGUAACUGGUCUGGGAGGAUGAUCAGUCACACUGGAACUGAGACACGGUCCAGACUCCUACGGGAGGCAGCAGUGGGGAAUAUUGGACAAUGGGCGAAAGCCUGAUCCAGCCAUGCCGCGUGUGUGAAGAAGGUCUUCGGAUUGUAAAGCACUUUAAGUUGGGAAGAAGGGCAGUAAGUUAAUACCUUGCUGUUUUGACGUUACCGACAGAAUAAGCACCGGCUAACUUCGUGCCAGCAGCCGCCGUAAGAC